UUCACUCUUCAAACUCAAAUUGCGCCGUUCACAGUUCGCUAAUCGCUACCCUCGUCUUCUCCUUCGUAUCAGGCUUCAAUCUUCAUCUUUUCCUUCAUCUUCUCCUUUUCUACCCUUCUCUUCCACUCUUCGUCUUCUCCUUCGUCACCCGUCUCAUCUUCGUCUUCUCCUUCGUCACCCGUCUCAUCUUCGUCUUCACCGUCGUCAGUUCGGCUACGACUCUACUCAGUUCGUCUUCUCGUUUUGGCUUUCGAUCUCCUCGUCCGUCAGCGAUACACUUCGUCCCUCUUCUCGUUUUGGCUUCCGAUUUCGAUUUCGACUGCCAUUGUAACAGGCCUCCCUCCGGCAAAGCACACCCAAAGUUCAUAGCAGACCAACUGCCAUUUGUUGCUAACACCUGCAUUCAAGUCGUCCACUAAGUAACAAUUCUUCCUGAAAAGUAGGAAUGGUGGGGCUUUCAACUGGAGAGAAGCUUUUCAUACAAGCUGGUAUUGCUCAAGAUCUUCGCACUGAUGGUCGAGGGAGGCUAACUUAUCGACCCAUCUCUAUUGAAACUGAUGUGAUCUCUCAGGCAAAUGGUUCGGCAAGGGUCCGAAUGGGUGGUACUGAAGUUAUUGCUACAGUGAAAGCUGAACUUGGAAGACCUAAUCCAAUGCAAUCUAACAAAGGGAAGGUCUCAAUCUCUGUUGAUUGUAGUCCGAUUGCAGAGCCGGCAUUUGAGGGUAGGGGUGGUGAAGAGUUGUCAAUGGAACUCUCUGUUGCUCUUGAGCGGUGUCUCUUAGGUGGAAAGAGUGGUUCAGGGGCUGGGAUUGACCUAUCAUCUUUGAUAGUUGUGGAAGGGAAGCUUUGCUGGGAUCUCUAUAUUGAGGGGUUGGUCUUAAGUUCAGAGGGCAAUCUUUUAGAUGCCCUUGGUGCUGCCAUUAAGGCUGCUUUGAGCAAUACAGGCAUCCCAAAAGUCCAUAUUGCUGCAGAAGCAUCAGGCAACGAACAACCUGAAGUUGACGUGAGUGAUGAAGAAUUUAUACAGUUUGAGACAUCUGGGGUUCCAGCCAUUGUUACGUUGACAAAAGUGGGUAAGCACUACAUCAUUGAUGCUACUUUGGAAGAAGAAUCUCAAAUGAGUUCUGCAGUCUCCAUAUCCAUCAACAGGCAUGGUCACAUUUGUGGGUUGACUAAACGUGGGGGCGUCGGGGUUGAUCCAAGCAUAAUCCUCGAUAUGAUAUCCGUGGGCAAAAAUGUCAGCGAGGAGUUGCUGAAUAAGUUGGACUCGGAGAUUGUGGCUGCUGAAGUUGAUGAAGAGGAAUGAAAAAGCUCUUAGAUCUCUUACUAUUGUUCAUUUGCAUGGUAGAAUCUUAGAUCGAUAAUCUGCAAUGGAAUUCUAGUCUAGAUGAUAUAGAUGAUUGAAAGUGUGUUUUUUGAACCGGAGCCGUUGAAUGCAUUGGUAAGGUAAUGAACUUGUAUCAUGUUAUUGAUCAUAAGUUCAUAUUUCUUUUCUUGCUUUAGUCUAGUAUGGGUUUGAUUUCUUCUUGAAACUAUUGAUGCACUUAGAUAGGAAGUGAAUUUUUGUUUUUAGAGUCCUUGCACCAUUGCAUUAUUCUAUAGUAUCCAGGUUUAUGUUUGUGCAGGUCGACACAUAAUUCGUGGAAGUUUUAGCAUUCAGGUGUAAUGUUUUUAUCUUUGACUUUGUAAAGAUCCACAUGGAUGGAACACCCAAUGGGUGAUGUUUGUCUGCAGGUCUUCUUAACCCCAGCUCAUUUAGACAUUGUCAUGGAAUAUGCAGCUGGUGGGGAAUUUUUUGGAAGAAUAUGCAGUGCUGGUCGAUUUAGCGAAGACGAGGCAAGAUUUUUCUUCCAACAGCUAAUAUCCGGUGUCAGCUACUGCCAUUCCAUGCAAAUUUGUUAUAGGGAUCUGAAAUUGGAAAACACACUCUUGGCUGAAGUCCUACUCCACAACUUAAGAUAUGUGACUUCGGUUACUCAAAGUCUGCUUUAUUACACUCGCAACCAAAAUCGACCGUUGGGACACCAGCAUAUAUUUCACUGGAGGUUCUAUCGUGAAAGGAGUAUGAUGCCAAGAUUGCAGAUGCUUGGUCAUGUGGAGUGACAUUGUAUGUGAUGUUGGUUGAAGCAUACCCAUUUGAGGAUCCCGAAGAUCCGAGAAACUUUCAAAAGACAAUAGCAGUAUCUCUCAAAAAAUACAUUAUAGUUUGUUUCGUCAUAAUAAACUUCAGGAAUGUUCAUUUGAGAAAGGGAAAACCCAAUGUCUGUCUCCCUAAUCUUGAAUACAGAGAAUAUUAAGUGUUCAAUACUCAAUACCCGAUUAUGUA